rnacentral:ncRNA from 1 species
GACGCGGGCGGCAUCUGGGGCAUUGAUAACGUUUGUCCGAUGCGCAGAGCGCAGCGAAGUCCGGUGCGAGUCCGGCGCUGUCCCGCAACUGUCAUAGCCAGGUCGCCUGCCUCCGCGCUGACGUCAUC